GUACUUAAAAAAUAAUGUAGAGCAACAAGUCACAACCACAGAAUGAUUUAUCUUGGGAACCUUGACUUACAAAGUCUUCUCUUCCUAUGCAGCACCAGUAUUGGUGAUUUGGUCUUGGCCUUAAUCUUUGGGGCAGCCUUGAAUGCUUAAAAGCAGUUUGCUUCAAGAGGCAAGUUCUAUACUUCAUCCCCCAAGUUCCUGAUGCCAUUUCUCUAGAGGACUGUGUUCCUCCCAUGUUUCUCAAUUAUGACUUCUCUGCCUUCUGUGGCAAUAUCAAGCCUGACCAAGAAUUCUAAAACCACUCCACAAAUUUUAUUCUUCCAAAAAGUGGGAGAGAAGAGGGAAGGCAGAAUAUAGGCAGCACCAUAUUGAUAUAGUCAGAACAAAGUGGGCAAAAUUUGUUGUUAAAACAUAUAUGUAAGCAAAUGAUCGCAUCUAGCUGGUUAGUACUUGGGCUUGGGGACGUGGUUUGGUAACCUUGAUAUAUGAUAGACUUGCUAUAUUGAGGUUAUUUUUGUAAACGUGUUGGAUAUGGCAAUGUAUGAAACAGAUGGCAGUAAUCUAUGACAAUGUGGUAUUUUGAAUA